CCUACGGGAGGCAGCAGUGAGGAAUAUUGGUCAAUGGGCGUAAGCCUGAACCAGCCAAGUCGCGUGAGGGAUGACGGUUCUAUGGAUCGUAAACCUCUUUUAUAAGGGAAUAAAGUGUGGGACGUGUCCUAUUUUGUAUGUACCUUAUGAAUAAGGAUCGGCUAACUCCGUGCCAGCAGCCGCGGUAAUACGGAGGAUCCGAGCGUUAUCCGGAUUUAUUGGGUUUAAAGGGUGCGUAGGCGGCCUUUUAAGUCAGCGGUGAAAGUUUGUGGCUAAACCAUAGAGUUGCCGUUGAAACUGGAGGCCUGAGGAAUGUUUGAGGCAGGCGAAAU
rnacentral:rRNA from 1 species